rnacentral:rRNA from 1 species
AUGGCGCUCGGCAACAUCGCCAUCGUGCUCGGCUCUGGAUAUCUCAGCACUGUUCUUACAGGAGGCGACGCCAAGAAAGUCCCCAUCAUCGGGGACACGCUUGCCCAUUUUGUGAAGAACACCGGGAAGGCCGGGACACAUGACGGUAGCGAUCAGUUGGCAUCUCAGCUCGACAGUAUCAGGGAUGAGAUACAGCAAGCCGUACGCCGCAGAGACGAGAAUGUUACGGUUAUCUCCGACACAUCAGGGUCUGGUUCGUAUACCGUAAUGGCAAUUGUUGUUGCUGGGCUUAUCGGCUACGCAUACGUCAGGUGGAAGGGUUGGAAGAUUUCGGACAUGAUGUGGGUGACGAAGCGCGGUCUGGCCGAUGCUUGCGAUGUCGUGGGUAAACAGUUAGAUGAUGUUUCAAAUACAGUACAGGUUACCAAGAAACAUCUCGCUGGAAGGAUCGACCGGGUCGAUGCUAAUCUAGACGAAACACAAGAAAUUAUCGAAGGGACAAGGGAUGAGGUCGCAGUGAUCCAUGUGGAUCUGAGCGCCUUUCAGAAGGAGCUCCAAGAAGUCAGCCGUACGGUUGAGAUAUGGGGGUCAAGGCUGUCUGGUAUCGAGGACACCCAGGAUCGUACCGUGCGUGCAACCGAAGCCUUGGUUGGGUUCAGCCAACAACUGGAACAUGGUGGUGGAUAUUCGCCAGGUCUCAUCGUUCCUUCCAGCUCUAGGAUCCUCCCCUUCAGAGCAAAACAUUAA